rnacentral:rRNA from 1 species
UGGGGAAUCUUGCGCAAUGGGCGAAAGCCUGACGCAGCCAUGCCGCGUGUAUGAUGAAGGUCUUAGGAUUGUAAAAUACUUUCACCGGUGAAGAUAAUGACUGUAGCCGGAGAAGAAGCCCCGGCUAACUUCGUGCCAGCAGCCGCGGUAAUACGAAGGGGGCUAGCGUUGCUCGGAAUUACUGGGCGUAAAGGGAGCGUAGGCGGACAUUUAAGUCAGGGGUGAAAUCCCGGAGCUCAACUCCGGAACUGCCCUUGAUACUGGGUGUCUUGAGUGUGAGAGAGGUAUGUGGAACUCCGAGUGUAGAGGUGAAAUUCGUAGAUAUUCGGAAGAACACCAGUGGCGAAGGCGACAUACUGGCUCAUUACUGACGCUGAGGCUCGAAAGCGUGGGGAGCAAACA